rnacentral:lncRNA from 1 species
UCAAUGGCCGGAGCAGCUCAGGUGAGUUUGACUUUGAUUUUGCCCAGUUCUUGGUCAUUGCCAGCAUCUUAACCAUGAGUUUGACUUUGAUUUUGCUGCGGAUUGAUCCAUCAGGUGCUGGCGCUCGUUCUUUUCAUCGGUUCCUUGAUUAAUUAUUCACUUGUCCGUAGGUAUGUAUCAUGGCUCAAAGUCACGCACAUGAGAUUUGAGACUUUUUUGGGGGCUAAUGAUAAAUAUUGUUGGUGAUAAGGAGUGUAUGCUUAUGUGCUGUACCUUUUCAUAUUUCAAAGUGGUUGUAAGAAUGGCUAUGAAAUUGAAGAGCCGGCCAGAGGAGGUAGUGAGGCAUGUGCUCUAUAUAAUUUUCUGGUCUCUCCUUCUGGCCUACCAUACUGUUUAUAAUUUGUCUCGGUUCACAGAACUACGAUUAGUCAGUGUUGUCUGGAUGUGUUGUACACUUGUACCAUAUUAGAUUAUGUGUUCUGCCCAGCAGGGAUUAUUUAUCGAUGCUUCUUGGUGUAUCUAGAGAGUCUGAUUAGAGAGAAGUCAGUUCACAUCUCAGUGGCCUUUGUUGUUUAAUUUACACAACAUGUGCAGGUUCAUAUAGCAGUAUGCAUGUGUGAAUAUAAACUCUUCAUGCAAGGUGGCAGUAAAAGGCCUUUCGAUUUUACCUUAGGCACUACAGGCAGCUAAUAGAUAGGCCCAUUGCUUGCAUGAUGAUAAGUUUUGAACUGACGGUGUUCUUGACAAUAGUUGCAUAAGUGCACACGAGGUCCAAAGAAGCGUUGUUUCAUGUUUUACAAUUAAAUCAUGUCUACUCGAAGGGACAAUAUGUUCCGCUUGUGUAUCCUACCACCCUCUGCAUACUUACUCUAUGGUAUAUAUAAGAGCUACACCAUAUUUUGGGCUUCUCACAUUUGUGUCUAUCCAUUGGCAUCUUAUCUAUGUUUUGUUUUGUUUGUUUUUUUGAAAGGAACACAAAUGUAUUCCAUUAAACUGGUGUGCUCGGCAUAUCACCAGCACACAGGUUUAGUACAAAUUGUGGUAGAUGGCCAAUGCAGACCUCACGAUCGUCAUCCCCUAACAGAGCACCACGCGCAGCUAGUUCAUGAGCUACAACAUUACAUGAUCUUGGUACAACAGAUAUUCUAAAGUUUUCAAAUCUAACACAUAACAUGGCUUUUAUUUCUCUAAAUAGAACACCUGGCGGCGCUAGAUCAUACUCGCUUGAUGUAAUAGCAUUCUUCAGUACAGUCGAAUCUAUUUCUAGAAUCACCUGAUUACACCCCAUUGAUGAGGUGAUUUGCACCGCUUGGAGAAGAGCUCGAGCUUCAGCUUGAAGAGCAUUGCCGACUUCUUGAAGAUGACCUUGUCCAGCUGCCACUGCUACUCCUCGAUCAUUCCUGACUAUAAAGCCCCAACCACCUGAAAAGGAUUGUUCCCUAAAAGCCCCAUCUACGUUGAUCUUUAAAAAAUUAUGCAUCGGUCGAGACCAUUGCAGCUGCAUCUUAUUACUUGGUAUUAGUUUCUUUACCUGCAUGUUCUUGUAUUCCAAAACAUGAACUGUGACAGAGGUAAUUAUCUCAUCUGAUGUUUUUGGUUUCUCUCCUCGGUUUGCUUUAUUCCUUUCCGCCCACCAGAUCCAGAGCAAACAACAAGCUGUGAGCCUCUUUUCUUUGUUUAGAUUGAAUAUUUCAUGUAGGAGAGAUGGGCCGCUUGGGCAUCCAGCAAUUAACUCUCUUGUGUCCUCCAUUUGAAGUCCUCUCCAGAUUGGUUUAACUAAUUUGCAUUUGCAAAAAAUGUGGCCUCCAUCUUCAUUUAAUCUAAAACAAAGUGGGCACCUGGUAUCAAUAUUCAUACCUCUUUGUUUCAGCUUCAUUCGCAAUGGUAAACUGUUGGUGGCCACUCUCCAUAGGAAAUGCAGAAUCUUGUUAGGCAGAGGGAGUGACCAUAGUUUCUUCCAUUCAAAACCACAUGUGUUUCCCACUGGAUUGGAGCAUUCAGGUAGCCCUUUCACAGAUUCAUGUGCUUCACAAUCCCGUGCUACUUUGUAUGCAGAUUUGACUGAAAAAAGUCCUUUUUUAUCAUAGUGCCAUGCUGGGAAGUCAUCUAGCUGCUCAUGAAUUGGGAUCCUGAGUAUAACCUGUACAUCUUCGCCUACCAUUGAUUGGUUUAGUAGGUCUAGGUCCCAAGUGUUAGUUACUGGAUUUAUGAGCUCCUCGACGUGCGUGAUUAGAUUGUUGCCCUUCCUUGAUAUGAUCCUUCUUGAUAUUCCUCUUGGGAUCCAUGGGUCGUUCCAUAUGUUAAUAGAUUUGCCAUUCCCCACUCUCCAUAUUAUGCCUUUAUUUAGCAAAUUUAUCCCUUUUAAUAUGCUCCUCCAUGUAUAUGACAUUCCCCUUGCAAGCUUUGCAUUUAAGAUUUGCCCAUCUGGGUAGUAUUUCGCAGAUAAUACUCGGGCACAAAGGGCAUUUGGGUUGUGGAGAAACCUCCAUGCUUGUCUUGCAAGCAUUGCUAUAUUGAACGAAUGGAGAUUCCUGAACCCAAGACCCCCAUUUUGUUUGGACGUUGUCAAUCUUUUCCAGCUCACCCAAUGUAUCUUGUUUUCCUUAUCCAUUUGACUCCACCAAUACCUACAGAUCAUCUCGCUCAAUUGAUCACAAAAGGAUUUUGUAAGGUCAAAACAAGCCAUUGCAUAGACUGGAGUUGCUUGAGCCACGGCCUUGAUUAAGAUUUCUUUCCCUGCCUUCGAAAGCAUUUUUUCUUUCCAGCCUUGGAUUCUUCUCCAAACCCUUUCUCUUAUGUACGCAAAAGUUUUACUCUUUGAUUUCCCAAUAUAAGCUGGCAGGCCAAGGUACUUCCCUAAAUAGCCCUCCUUGUGGAUGUUAAGGAUGUUCUUCAUCCUUUCUUUGUGACAUGGUUUGAUGUUCCUGCUGAAGGAUAGAAGAUUUCUCUCUAUUGAUUGCCUGGCCUGAGCAUUUCUCAUACACUUCAAGGAUGUGCUGCACUUCUGUUGCAUUCCUUUCAUUUCCUUCAACUAGUAAUAAAGAAUCGUUAGCAAAUAGUAGAUGACUAACACUUGGAGCAUUGCGACAGAUUUUAAUACCUUUUAGUCUUCCAUUUUCUUCCGCAUCUUGGAGCAUUGAUGAAAAGCCUUCUGCACAAAUCAGGAAAAGAUAGGGAGAUAAUGGGUCCCCUUGUCUUAGCCCUCGCCCGGGAAGAAUUGUGUUAGUGACUUCAUUGUUGACCUUGAUUUGGUAUCUAACCGUGGUUACACAUUUCAUCACUAGGUCCACCCAUCUUCUUCUAAACUCCAGCUUCCAAAUCAUUCCUUCAAGAAAAUUCCAUUCAAGGCGAUCGUAAGCCUUGCUCAUGUCCAACUUUAGAGCUGCAAAUCCUGAUGCUCACUCCUUUUAUUCUACAAAUAGUGUGUUAAUUCAUAUGCAAGAAGGAUAUUAUCUGAAAUAAUACGCCCGGGGACAAAAGCACUUUGAUUAUGAGAUAUAAUAUCAGGGAGGAUAACCUUCAAUCUAUUGGUAAGUACCUUAGACACCACUUUGUAGACAACAUUGCAUAGGCUUAUUGGCCUAAGAUCUUUCAGCUUCUCUGGUUUUGAAUUUUUUGGUAUGAGUACUACCAAAGUAUCAUUCCAGCCUUCUGGCAUGUCUCCUCCCUUCAAAACAUUGAGCACUUCUCUUGUCAGCUGGUCUCCAAUGGUUUGCCAGAAGUGUUUAAAAAAGAUGGCAGGCAUUCCAUCAGGACCAGGUGCUUUAAGGUUACCGAUGUUUUCUAGUGUAGUUUUGGCCUCUUCUGGAGAGUAUUCCGCGCAUAGGACAUUGUUCAUGUUGUUGUCCACUUUUGUUGGAACAACUUGCAAUAUUUCUGUUAUGUUAUACCCGGCUUCUGAUGAGAAGAGGUUGAAAAAAUAUUCUGCCACAUGCUCUCUCAUCUGUUCUUGGCUUUCCACCCACGACCCAUCUUCUUUCUGAAGUUUGUUUAUUUUAUUCCGUUUCUUCCUUUCCGAUGCAAAAGCAUGGAAGUAGGUUGUGUUACGAUCCCCGGAAUGUAACCACUUCACGUGUGUUCGCUGUUUCCAGGUGUCAUAUUGUUGUUCCAAUCUAUUUAUUUUUUCCCUUAGCAUGUGUUCUCGUGUAAUAGAGCUUUGGCUGAUUUCACUCCUCCUGGUGAGUUCUAAUUCCUACUUCAUUCUUUUUAUUUGCUUUUGUGUGUUUCCCAGGACCUUAGCAUCCCAUUCCUUUAAAUCGACAACUACUUUCCGAAGACCUUCCAUUAGGUUCCCAACCCUGUUAGUUGUCAUGUUGCUCCAGGCCUUGUUUAUGAUGUUUUCACAGUCCUCCUCUUGGAGCCAUUUUGCUUCAAACCUGAAGAAAUUAACUCUAUCAUAUGAUCUGGAUCUGUUGUUAUUAUUUUCACCAGUAAUCAUUAUCACUGGUCUGUGGUCGAAAUGUCUGUGAUCACCAUUAAUCACUUUAUAGGAUGAGAAACGAUCACACCAAGACCUAGACCCAAGUGCCCGAUCAAGCCUUUCUUUCACAUAUCUCCUAGCAUCCCAACUAUUGUUACACCAUGUAUAUUUGUCUCCAUAGUAGCCCAAGUCUCUGAGACCACAUUCCUCAAUCGCCAUUCUGAAAUUGUCCAUUUGACUCUGAGGGCGAGGCGGCCCGCCUUUUUUCCAUGUUCAUAGAGUAUUUCGUUGAAGUCCCCCAUGCAUAGCCAAGGGAGGUCUGAUUGGUGGUUUAGCAUUCGCAAUAGUUUCCAUGUAUUUCCUCUUUUGUCACUUGCUGGUUCGCCAUAUAUUCCAGUGAACCUCCAUUUAAAACCAUCAUCCUCUACCACUUGCACAUCUAUAUGAUACUUGGAGUAGUUGUGAAGUUCAAUAUUUAUCUCCUUUCUCCAAAACAGUGCUAUGCCUCCACUUUUUCCUUUGCAAUCUUUAGUUACCAUCCCUGACAUUCCUAACAUCCAUCUAAAUCUGCUUAUCUUGUUUUCCACCAUCUUUGUUUCGGAAAGAAAAAGCACAUCCGUGUCCUCCCUCUUCUGGAGAUCCAGAAGCCCUCGAACUGCCAAGCCAUUACCCAAUCCCCAGCAGUUCCAAGCCACUAGUUUCAUUGGGGCCCGCACGGGCUGUCCCUGCAGCCCAGCUUCCACAUUAGAUUGUUGCGUUACAGUGCUUUGGCCAACCGCCUCCAUAGCAUCAUUCGAAACAUCGAUGUCCAUCUUGGUUUUCUUUGCAAACUCAAGGCCCAUAUCUAUUUCGAUAGCAUCAGCACCUCUCUUAUUUGUACAUUUUCCCUCUACGGGUUUUGAUUUCCCUCCUGUGCUUCUUACUCAUCGCUUGAAAGUGCCAUGUUUGCCAUUCUUUUCUGUCUUUUCCAAAGCUUCUGCACCUUCUACUGCCACUUCAUUCUCUUCAUUGAUUUUUGGUGACCUGUUGUCAUUAUUAGUCAAACCUUCUUCAGGUUGGAUAGUUGGUACAUGAGCUGAUGGUUCCUUUCUCGUCGUUUCCUCCAUCACCAAUCGGUUUCCUCCCAUCUUCUUAUGUUCCUUCACUACUCCUGAAUCCAAGGAUGUUGAGCCUAGCUGGUCAUUUUUAGCAUCCACAGAUUUGUCUUGGGGAUCUGCCUCCUUGCUGCUUUCCUUCCCUUUAUUUCCUUCUUUAAUAAGCAGCUUUCUUCCACUUGUAUUUAGUUCAUCUUUCCCUGUUUGUUUCAUCAGGGGGCUGGUUAUCUCUUUCCACCCUCCAUGUGAGCCUGCGGAACCGUCAUUUUCAGGCGAGAUUUUCCUCCAGGAAUCAGAGUUACUUCGUUUACUUCAUCCGCUACUGCUCUUCCAGAAGCCCCCUCUAUCUAAUGAUCCCCUGUUUUUAUUUUCUUCGCUAGGCGACACUCUCCACGUGUUCGCUUUCAGCCAUGGUCCAUACUCUUGUUUUGUACACCAUUUUUGUUUACUUGGACAGUCUUUAUCAUUAUGCCCAAUCACUCCACAUAUGUAGCAAAAAUCUGGUAAGUGUUCAUAUUUGAAAGUCACCUCACGCUCUUUGUCUUUCUCCUUCUUGUCAUCUUCGUCAUCUAUGAUGGCAUCCUCUUUCGCUUCCUCUCUUUCUUCAUCAUCGUCUUCGUCGAAGAUAAUAGUGCCCCUCAUGAGUGGCUCCGUAAUUUUCAUUCUCACUUUGACUCUCAUAUAUUCUCCCAUCGUCAUUCCGCAAUCAUCCACAUCAAUAUCUAAUACUUCGCCAAUAUUCUUACCUAUUUCUUUGCCUGAUUUUGGUUGUGGAAGUAUGCGGAUAGAGAAUACACUGUAUUUUUUUUGCAUGGCCAGCUUGGUUUGAUAUGUGGUGUUAGAUUUUCUUUCCUUGAUUAUUUUAAUAGUUCCAUGUCUACUCAUAUUCCUUUUUGUAUUUUCCAGGACUGGAUACUAUUGUUUUGCCUAUUCCCUGGUUUGGUCGUGAUUAAUGACAAUGUUGUUUUCUCUAAAGUUCUGCACAUUGUUGAAUUUUAGAGGCGAGGGCUUCCACAUGCCCAGAUCCUUGUCUGGUUGAGAGAGGAUGGCCUAAAGAUUGGUAUAUAUAUAUUUCUUUUUCAUUUAUGUAGAAAUUACAAACCAUGUUCUUGAUCCCUUAGAUUAUUCCAUGGUUUCUACAUUUUAUUUGCCUCUUUUCUCCUGCAGUUACUUUCUCUUUCAUUUACUUUUCUAUUACAAUCACUCAUUCAAAAAGAAUAUUCAGUGCACCUAUAAAACAUCUAACAAAAAUAAUCAUAGACCCUUCUUUCUAAAUCAGAAUAUAACAGUACUAAAUCAGCUAGAUGGGUUGUAGAUGCUUUGUUACUCAAUGAUAGGAAAAAAUGUUAGUUGCGCUCUUGACCUACCUACCAGCUACUGACCGCCCUAUCCAUUUCCCUCUCCAAGUUCAUAUACUUUCUUUGUUGGCCCAAGACACAAAGCAAGUUCUGCGUUUGUUGUGUUCAUUCGUUCCUGAUCAACGAUUUUCUUUUCCAGAUGACCCAUUUGGUUUCCGCUCCGUUACUUUCUACUUUGCUGAUGGAAAUUGAAGGAUCUGCGUGUUUGUAAUCUUAGAACUUUCGGUCAUUUUAGAACUUUCGGUCAUUUGUAAUCUCUCCAUGGCGCUUGCCGCUCUGACAGCGAUUUUGAAACAAUUAUUACCUGAUAAAAGAUGAAAGUAGAAUGCUUAUGUUAUUUAAUUUUGUCUGUUCAUGCUUAUCCUUUUGGGUACUUCUGAAGGAACUUUUGGGUUGUUUCCUACCCACUAACAUUAUUUAUCAUAAAAUUCUUUAUUGAAAUCUUGAAUAAGGGAACUAUAAUAAUGCAGAUAAAUACGAUUUUUUUUCUUAUUUUACAAACAGGUGCAUAUUAUGAUUAUUGUGUUGGGGUGCAAGGCGCAACUCCGACGUGGUUCCUCACCGGUUGGACGGUGUUCAGGCGCAACCCCGGCGCCCACUGAGUACUGCC